GCCACGCCCGCUCACGAAACUCGAAAGGAAUUGACGGGACCCCGCACAAGCGGUGGAUCAUGUUGUUUAAUUCGAUGAUACGCGAAGAACCUUACCAGGUCUUGACAUCCCCCGCGAUGCUUUAGAGAUAAAGCGGAGGUAUUCGGGGAGACAGGUGGUGCAUGGUUGUCGUCAGCUCGUGUCGUGAGAUGUUGGGUUAAGUCCCGCAACGAGCGCAACCCUAUUGCUAGUUACCAUCAUUAAGUUGGGGACUCUAGCGAGACUGCCAGUGAUAAACUGGAGGAAGGUGGGGAUGACGGUCAAAUCAUCAUGCCCCUUAUGACCUGGGCUACAAACGUGAUACAAUGGCUGGAACAAAGGGAUGCGAAGCAGUGAUGUGGAGCGAAACCCAUAAAAACAGUCUCAGUUCGGAUUGAAGUCUGCAACUCGACUUCAUGAAGUCGGAAUCGCUAGUAAUCGCGGAUCAGAACGCCGCGGUGAAUACGUUCUCGGGGUUU
rnacentral:rRNA from 1 species